rnacentral:antisense_RNA from 1 species
CUUCACCGAACCCAGCCACAACGGCCGGCCCUCGGGACGCUCCUGACCGUAAGUGGCCAGCAGCGCCCGCGCCUC